CUCCGCUUGGUGUAGUUGGUUUAUCACGUUCGGCUGUAAUGGAAACUCCAAUGUUACCGAAAGGUCCCUAGUUCGAUUCUGGGAGCGGAGA